AUCGAGACGCAUCGACCGAAAUCUAAGAGUUAUAUAUACAUAUAUAGGCAAUGUGUUUUCCCAGUGAAUCCCAAUGUCGCAUCCUGUUUGUUGCAGUUUCGGUUUGUGACCGACACUAACGGGUAGUUGGGGCACCUCGAAUACGCUGUUUUACUCGUUUUUGCGAUCACAAAUUCUGAAAUUGCAACGAAAAGCAACAAGAAAAUUUCUCAACGAACUGAACCGGGCCGAGGCGGACCGGGGUCAAUGUGAGUUCGAGCUGCGGAUCGGUAUUCAGUGAUGUGGCAAAUGUGCGAAAAGUGUGAGAUAUUUUCAUGAUUGUUCGAAUCAGAUUUCAGUUCGGAGCGGCAGCGAGUGAACAGGAGAAAGAGCGUGAAAACCUAUUGAUACUAUAUUUCUGUAUAAUACAAAUUCCCAAUUGAUAUACACAAAGUACAUAGCGCCGAAGAUGUCAAACUGUCAAGCGAAUACAAAGCACUCCUCCCGCUUCCAAUAGGACCAAAUACAUACAUAUAUGUAUGCUAACAAAUACAUGUGUGCAGCUAUGUGUAUGUGUUUUUGUGUGUGUUGACGUUGGUUCAUACACUAAAUAAAAUAUUGUUCCCCAGAAACUUAGAAAAACUUUCUUCAAUUAGAUCUGCUUGCAGGGUAUCUUAUAAUCGUACUUCGACUUCGACAUAAAUUGUUGCUUUCUCAAUUGCCAAUAUAAACAAGUAAGAGCUUCUAAUC
rnacentral:sRNA from 1 species